AUACUAUUGAAAGUACUAAAUAUUUGAAUACAUUUAAAAUGUUUGUGGAUUCAUGGCAAAACUUCACAAAUAAUUGAUUUUAUUUUGUGGAUGGGUUGUACCUAAGCUCUAGUCUUCAAAGUCUUUCGUUUACAGUAUUAUACAUUUUUUUUUUGCUUGUUGAUCCAUCUCCUCAUUCAACAUUCAUUGCACUUUUUCUUUUUCGCUAAAAUUCCUUUCUUCAUUAAGAGAGGCGUCAGUUUCCAGACACUAGGAUGCAUAUUUGUAUCUGAGCUUUGUAUUGCAUUGUGGAAAGCCAUCUACACUAUUGUUUGUUCCUGGCAUAUUGUCACUUGUCCACUGAGAGAUGUUCCAAACUUCUAUAGGAAACGUGGGUUCGACUCUGUGCCACUGUAUAUGGAGCUGAGAUCUAUAUAAUAUAAAAAUGGGAGUACUGCAUCAAUGGAGAAAUUAGACCAAACUGUCAACCAGUUAUUUUAUCUUUUAUAACAAAAUUACCUUAUGGCCAAUUGGUUAUGUGGUGAAAAUGUUUGCAGCAAAAAUGCUUGCAGCAAAGAUAUCUGUGGGGAAAGAGGCUUACAGGGAAAAUACCAGACAUGCUGGAGGGCACCCGCCCUGCCUGGGGAGCACACCUCCUGUUCCCCCUACUCUGAGUGUGGGAAUGAUGGCCCAAGGUUGGCAUGUCUGAUUUUUCAAAUGAAGCUGGAGAGUCAGGUUUUUACUUCAAACCUCUUAGUUUUCAAAUAUUGGCCAUGGUUUUAAUCAGCAGCAGCAUCAUCACUGUGCAGGCCAACUCUCCAGGUGACCCCCAGUGUGCCAGGCUGCACGUGACCCACAGCUCACUGCAUUGCAGCCUGGUUCUGAGCAGCUUGCCAGCCGGCGAGAGUAUUUGGUGCUGGCAACAAGAGAGACCAGUUACUGGGGCUUGCACCAAUUAGGGACUGAUUUCUUGACAUUAAAAAAAGCCCAGAGUGGGUAGUCCAGGACUGGUAUGUUGAGCCCCUGAAUGGGUUCACCAAGCACCCAUGCACCUUUGUUUUUCAAGAGAACAUGAAAUUUCAGUCAUUGCUCAAAUACUAAUGUUUGCUUCAUUGAUAUCAAAAUUUUACCUAAGCCCUGUUUCCAUGCCUUUCUGUGUUCCCGUGAAGUUUUUUUUCAAUGUUGAACCAUAGCAUAAUUUUAGGAGGACAUUAUAAACAAUUAAACUCCACAUGUAGGCACCAUUAGCACUCACAGCACAACUGAAGUAAGGCAGCUUGAACACCUACGACCACGGGUGCUCACAUUCAGCCAGUGACAACUCUGCAGUGACUGCUGCCUGGUUGACAUCAACUCCAAGAUGCAUCCUGACUUUAGAGAUGCGAUACUGUGAAAAAAGAAUUUGUCUUAGAAUCAACAAAAUGUGUUUUAUUUGGGGUCGACUCUGGGGAUGAAAUCUACUCUGAGACCCUGGGUGCUGGACCCCAUCCCUGCCACCCACUCCAUCUUUUCCUGCUUUGGUUUCCUUCCCUAGACUGUCUUUCAAUUCUAUUCCAAGUGGGCCAGUCCAGUUCCUGGUUUCAGCUGGAUCCUUGGUAUCUGCAGUGAGGACGCAAGGAAAGAACAAAGCUUUCCCCAAAGGCUCAAAUCCCAGCUUUGCCACUCAGAGCUGUGUGACCCUGGACCAGUUGCCUGACAUUGGCGAAAAUCAUUUCCCUCAUUUGCAAAAUGGUAAUAGUUGUACCUUGCUCCUGGGGUUAGUGUGCAGAUUAAUUUAAAUAUAUGUAACAUUCCUAACACUGUACUUGACAUAACAGUGGCUUAAUAAAUGUUGGCUUUGUUUUCCUUUUUGCUUUACAGACCUCACUCAACUACCCAUUUUCUAUUUCCUUUACUCACUGGGGAAAAGCCCAACAACUUACAACACAUGGAUUGUGCUCUCACUGAUCUGGGCUCCUUGGAGGUUUAUCUUUUAUCUUAAGUUAUAUCUCAGAGGGACAUCAGCAUCAUGGUGGAGUGAGUUCUUCCCUUAGUCUCUCCCUUCUAAGUUACAACUAGACCUUCAUUAAUUAGCAGAAGAUUCCCUGCACAGCACAACAGGACAUCUGAGAGAUCCAUGCAGCUGUGCAUCUGAAGGUGGGUGGACUGGAUCCCCAGGAGGCAGUGGAACUAGGUAACAUUGUGAAACAUCACCAGGCACUUAUUCCAUACAAUGAGUGGUUAUUAGACCCCUUCUUGAGAGAAGAUCUAAAGAAAUGGAAGACCCAGAGGACACUGGAAAAUUGAAAGUGGAAGGAUGACUGAGGAAGAAGUAGGGUGGGCAUCUGGAAAGUUGCCCAGGAAGGUCACCUACUCACCUAGAAAAUUUCACGGUUGGCUUCUGUCCAAGGUGGCAGGCGCAGGUGGUCUCAUUGGCAGAUUUCUGUUUCUUAAUACAUUAAAUCCCCCCUUCUCUUCUUAUAGUAUUUCUUCCUUCCUGCUAUCCUUAAGGAUAGAUUUUGUUCUUUUUCCAAUUUCUUGAAGUGACCACUCUGUUCUUUAUUUUUCAAAUGCUAUGCAUUGACCUUUGAGAACAACUGUGUCUGCAUCCCACCUGCUUUGAUACAGAUUAUCCUCUCAUUUUUUUCUAAACACUGUGUAAUUGUAGCUUUCGGUUUGUUUUUUUCUCUCUUUCUUUGUUUCUUCCUUUGUUUCUUUAUUUUCAUACCUUCAUAUUGCUAUGGUCUUUUUCCUCCCACACUGAAGCUCUGGGAAUAUCACGGAAAACAAAAAAGGGAGCACCCUGACCCUACCCAAGGCACAAGACCCAUAUCACUGUCCCCAGACAGUCAAAUCACCAGAGGCUGCAUAUUAGAUAAAAUGAACAUCCUGUGACCACACCCAUCUAUCACUGAGCCG
ensembl:lncRNA